UGGGGAAUAUUGCACAAUGGGCGCAAGCCUGAUGCAGCCAUGCCGCGUGUGUGAAGAAGGCCUUCGGGUUGUAAAGCACUUUCAGCGAGGAGGAAGGUGGUGAACUUAAUACGUUCAUCAAUUGACGUUACUCGCAGAAGAAGCACCGGCUAACUCCGUGCCAGCAGCCGCGGUAAUACGGAGGGUGCAAGCGUUAAUCGGAAUUACUGGGCGUAAAGCGCACGCAGGCGGUUUGUUAAGUCAGAUGUGAAAUCCCCGGGCUCAACCUGGGAACUGCAUUUGAAACUGGCAAGCUAGAGUCUCGUAGAGGGGGGUAGAAUUCCAGGUGUAGCGGUGAAAUGCGUAGAGAUCUGGAGGAAUACCGGUGGCGAAGGCGGCCCCCUGGACGAAGACUGACGCUCAGGUGCGAAAGCGUGGGGGCAAGCAAAGCAUGGAUUAGAUACCCUGGUAGUCCACGCUGUAAACGAUGUCGAUUUUGGAGGUUGUGCCCUUGAGGCGUGGCUUCCGGAGCUAACGCGUUAAAUCGACCGCCUGGGGAGUACGGCCGCAAGGUUAAAACUCAAAGGAAUUGACGGGGUCAUAGCUGUUUCCU
rnacentral:rRNA from 1 species